AUUACAUUUUUUAUUAAACAGUCUUCGCUUUAAAUUGUUUUUUGUAUAAUAUACAAUGAUUUAAAUUAACUUCAAAUUUAACACACUCAUAAUUCAUUACAGUGAUUUAUACGACUAAUGACGACUGACGAGAGAGAGAUGGGCCCUUGGACUAUGCCCGCCACUUAUCCAAGCGUAGUAUUGUAUAUAAGUGACUACACAAAUAUUUCAAUUAUCAGUAUUAUUUAAAUUGAUACUCAAGGUUCAAACAUUCUGGAUCCUUCAAUUCAUCUUCUGACAUGUAGGAUUGAUUUGAUUAAAUUAAUUUAAUCCUAUAAACUCUAGUUUUGGCAUUAUAUCAGGGCUUGAAUUGGUAUAUGUUAAUAUAAUAUAUAUAAUGUAAUUUUUAAAACUAUUUACUUUGUACCACACAGAAUAACGUUAUCUUUUGAAUACUAAAUAACACAAUAUCUAACUAGGUAACUCCAAAAAUGUGAUUUUGAGAUUAUUAGUGAUUAAAAUAUUAAGAAAAAAAA